rnacentral:rRNA from 1 species
UACGAAGGGGGCUAGCGUUGUUCGGAAUUACUGGGCGUAAAGCGCACGUAGGCGGGUCGUUAAGUCAGGGGUGAAAUCCCAGAGCUCAACUCUGGAACUGCCUUCGAUACUGGCGACCUAGAGUUCGGAAGAGGUUAGUGGAAUUCCCAGUGUAGAGGUGAAAUUCGUAGAUAUUGGGAAGAACACCAGUGGCGAAGGCGGCUAACUGGUCCGAUACUGACGCUGAGGUGCGAAAGCGUGGGGAGCAAACAGG